AUUGAACGCUGGCGGCAGGCCUAACACAUGCAAGUCGGACGGUAGCACAGAGGAGCUUGCUCCUCGGGUGACGAGUGGCGGACGGGUGAGUAAUGUCUGGGGAUCUGCCCGAUAGAGGGGGAUAACCACUGGAAACGGUGGCUAAUACCGCAUAACGUCGCAAGACCAAAGAGGGGGACCUUCGGGCCUCUCACUAUCGGAUGAACCCAGAUGGGAUUAGCUAGUAGGCGGGGUAAUGGCCCACCUAGGCGACGAUCCCUAGCUGGUCUGAGAGGAUGACCCGCCACACUGGAACUGAGGCACGGUCCAGACUCCUACGGGAGGCAGCAGUGGGGAAUAUUGCACAAUGGGCGCAAGCCUGAUGCAGCCAUGCCGCGUGUAUGAAGAAGGCCUUCGGGUUGUAAAGUACUUUCAGCGGGGAGGAAGGCGAUAAGGUUAAUAACCUUGUCGAUUGACGUUACCCGCAGAAGAAGCACCGGCUAACUCCGUGCCAGCCGCCGCAGUAA
rnacentral:rRNA from 1 species